rnacentral:snRNA from 1 species
UUGUCUUCUAGCUUUGCCUAUUGGCUUAGAUCAAGUGUAGUAUCUGGUAAGUCGAACGAAAUAAGACAUAAAUUCUACAUCCGACUAAUCCAAACAGUUCUUUUCAGUUUAAUCUCUGAAAGUCCUCUACGGAGGACACAUUGAUUAUACUUAUUUUUGGAAAUGGUCUGCGAAUCUCUGGGCUUGCUUAAGUUCGCAGACAAUGUGUCAUCGGUAUAACACUGCCUCCGAUCGACGCGAACGUUU